rnacentral:rRNA from 1 species
AUUGAACGCUGGCGGCAGGCUUAACACAUGCAAGUCGAGCGGAGAGAGGUAGCUUGCUACUGAUCUUAGCGGCGGACGGGUGAGUAAUGCUUAGGAAUCUGCCUAUUAGUGGGGGACAACAUUUCGAAAGGAAUGCUAAUACCGCAUACGUCCUACGAGAGAAAGCAGGGGAUCUUCGGACCUUGCGCUAAUAGAUGAGCCUAAGUAGAAUUAGCUAGUUGGUGGGGUAAAGGCCUACCAAGGCGACGAUCUGUAGCGGGUCUGAGAGGAUGAUCCGCCACACUGGGACUGGGACACGGCCCAGACUCCUACGGGAGGCAGCAGUGGGGAAUAUUGGACAAUGGGCGGAAGCCUGAUCCAGCCAUGCCGCGUGUGUGAAGAAGGCCUUAUGGUUGUAAAGCACUUUAAGCGAGGAGGAGGCUACUUUAGUUAAUACCUAGAGAUAGUGGACGUUACUCGCAGAAUAAGCACCGGCUAACUCUGUGCCAGCCGCCGCAGUAACAC